rnacentral:lncRNA from 1 species
GGAAACCUGUUGUAGGUCCCCAACAACCUGCAGCUGCAGGUCCCCAAAUCCUGACUCUACCACAAUAGGCAGGCAGAAGGGAGCCUGCAUUGUGCAAGCCCCUGCUGAUGCUGAGUGGCAACGCUGGGAGAAACUGAAAAGUGAAGCGAAAUGGCAGAAGGUGGUCUGGAAGGAAGGAAAUCAGAAGUCGACAAUGUUUACGAAAUGUUUAUGAGAGUAGAGACACCAUUUUUGUUUUCAACCUUGUUUUUGUUUUGUUGCUUUCUGGUGCGCUGCUAAGAAAGGACCAGAGGACAGAAUGAAACAGUGACGAGGUCACUCAGACACUUGCUUGCCUAUGAUUUAAAUCCUGACCCAGUUCCUUGUCAAAAAAGCCCAGCCCCGCUGCCUCCUCAAGGAUGGCGUGGGGCCAUCCAUGGAAAACAUGUCCAUGCAUAAGAGAUUUUGGUAUGAUUAGUUAUUCAGCUAAACACGGUGUCAAAGCAGCACAUUGCUCCCAUCUGACAGGCUAUGGAUGCCAGCCAUCUCUGCCUAUCACUCACAGCAAAGUCAGUUGCAAAUAGAGGUGGGUUACCUUCGCAGAAUACACAAAGCCCUGCUGUGACUUAGCUUUUCU